rnacentral:rRNA from 1 species
UGGGGAAUAUUGCACAAUGGGCGAAAGCCUGAUGCAGCCAUGCCGCGUGUAUGAAGAAGGCCUUCGGGUUGUAAAGUACUUUCAGUCGUGAGGAAGGGUGUGUAGUUAAUAGCUGCAUAUCUUGACGUUAGCGACAGAAGAAGCACCGGCUAACUCCGUG